rnacentral:lncRNA from 1 species
AAAAAAAAUCAGAGUUGAAUUUGAGCAAUUAUAACUCUGGGAUAGCAACUGAUCUCCAGCUGCUAAAUGCCGACAACUUGGUCUCUGCGCCAAUACCAGUCUUGUCUUUGGUCCAUUGGGACAUGGUUUUCUCCUAAGCAAGAUAUUGGUACAUCUACUUCGGAUGGUUAGUAGGAAAUCUGUUGGCUGUACUAAUGUAGUGGGCUCAGAAUCCAGAGUUUAUAUGUGCCCCAUCAUUUGAUCAAAUGCAUGAAUAUAUUAUAAGUUCAAGGGUUCCUAAUUCUUUACUAAGUUGAUUUACAACUCUGCCUUUAGGAGCCUUCAUAUUUGUACUAAUAUCUGUGCCUAAGAGAUCUUGUAGCACAGGGCAAUUAAAUUUGGGAAAGCUUUGAACAAAAUAUGGGAACCGCCAUAACAUGAAAACGGUAAACCACUUGUAAGUGCUAAUUCAGGUACUUCGCUGAACUUUGAUGAGAUUUAUGUAAUCACAACAUCAUCUUGGAAGCUGCACACCUUCUGCAUAUGUGUUAGGGCUUGAAAUGCAACUUGAAUUAUGUUACUUGGGAAUUAUAAUUAUGCUAACUC